GACGAACGCUGGCGGCGUGGAUUAGGCAUGCAAGUCGAACGGUAUCAUCCUUUCGGGGGUGAGAGAGUGGCGAACUGGUGAGUAACACGUAGGUUAUCUACCCUCAAGACGGGGACAACCCAGGGAAACUUGGGCUAAUACCGGAUGUGAGCAACUUUUAGUUGUUUGAAAGGUGGCGUAAGCUGUCGCUUGGGGAUGAGCCUGCGUCCUAUUAGUUAGUUGGUGAGGUAACGGCUCACCUAGGCAAUGAUAGGUAGGCGGCCUUAACGGGUGGUCGCCCACACUGGGAUUGAGAUACGGCCCAGACUCCUACGGGAGGCAGCAGUCGAGAAUAGUCUACAAUGGUCGGAAGACUGAUAGUGCGACGCCGCGUGAACGAUGAAUCCCUUCGGGGUGUAAAGUUCUUUUAUAUGUGAGCAGUGCUUCUUAUAUUAACAGUAUGGGGAGAGAGAUAUUAGCAUAUGAAUAAGCAACGGCUAAACUCCGUGCCAGCAGCCGCGGUAAAAAUA
rnacentral:rRNA from 1 species